AUUGAACGCUGGCGGCAGGCUUAACACAUGCAAGUCGAGCGGAGAUGAGGUGCUUGCACCUUAUCUUAGCGGCGGACGGGUGUGUAAUGCUUAGGAAUCUGCCUAUUAGUGGGGGACAACAUUCCGAAAGGAAUGCUAAUACCGCAUACGUCCUACGGGAGAAAGCAGGGGAUCUUCGGACCUUGCGCUAAUAGAUGAGCCUAAGUCGGAUUAGCUAGUUGGUGGGGUAAAGGCCUACCAAGGCGACGAUCUGUAGCGGGUCUGAGAGGAUGAUCCGCCACACUGGGACUGAGACACGGCCCAGACUCCUACGGGAGGCAGCAGUGGGGAAUAUUGGACAAUGGGGUGAACCCUGAUCCAGCCAUGCCGCGUGUGUGAAGAAGGCCUUAUGGUUGUAAAGCACUUUAAGCGAGGAGGAGGCUACUGAGACUAAUACUCUUGGAUAGUGGACGUUACUCGCAGAAUAAGCACCGGCUAACUCUGUGCCAGCCGCCGCAGUAAAAC
rnacentral:rRNA from 1 species